UAUAAAUCUCAUUCCAGAAGAAGAAUAAAGAUAAGUUCAUUCCAACAGCAGGCCAGGGAAAAUGGGCAAGCUAAACAUGGUAACAACUUCGAACUAAGAACAAAGAAUGCUCUAUUCAAACAGUCACGUUGCUGUCUCGGCAUAAAGGUCCCCUGCAGCGUGCCAGACUCCUGCAGUAAAACAACCUGGUGAUGGCUGAGAUCGAAACCCAUCCUUUUGGAAUCUUUCUGGGACUCUCCUGUCACUGCCUAGGUCUAUGAGGCAGCACAAUGUGUCUUAAAUUCCAAAUGCAAGACCGCAGGCACGCUGACAGAAUCAUGGGAGUGAACUAUGAUUACCCGGCUUGCUGUGCACUGCAUGCUGACAAGCAUCGGAAAGGUAGGAGAAACAAAGUAGACCAAAACAACUUUGACAGAAGCCCCCUGCAGGGCAAAUGAGGAUGGUGCAGUCUAUCAAUUUUCUGAGUAAGUGUGUACAGCUUCAAGUGAUUUAUUGAAAAUUACAUACCCUACAUCUGAGGAUUCAAACAGGUCCUUUUUUUUUUUUAACACUUUAAUGGUGGAAAAAAGGGAUUUUUGUAGGUCCUGGGUAAGUGGAAAUAAAUACUAAAUAAUUUAAUUAGAAUUCA
rnacentral:lncRNA from 1 species